AUGGAAAAUAUAUUGGAUGACAUGCUCACUGGAGCCCUGAUGUGGAUGCAAGUGCAACUAGACACCCUAAAUGACUCUGUGCAAAAACCUGGAAUUACUACAAUCUUAGAGAACUUCAAAGAUGUUUUUGCAGAGCCUACUGGUCUACCUCCUCAGAGAGAAUGUGACCAUGCAAUCAACAUGGAGCCUGGAGCCCCAGUUAUAAAUCAGAGAGGAUACAGGUUGCCACAUCACCAGAAAAAUGCUUUAGAUGAAAUCAUUAAAGAUCUUCGCCAUAAAGGGAUUAUAAGAUUAAGUCACAGUCCAUACUCCUCUCCUGCUAUCCUGGUGAAGAAAAAAGACAUGACUUGA
rnacentral:rRNA from 1 species